rnacentral:rRNA from 1 species
UCGAGAGGUGCAAGACCUCGGCAUACUGCUCAGUAACACGUGGACAACCUACCCUAUGGAAGGGGAUAAUCCCGGGAAACUGGGGAUAAUACCCUAUAGACUAUGGAUGCUGGAAUGCACUGUAGCCGAAAGGUCCGCCGCCAUAGGAUGGGUCUGCGGCCGAUUAGGUUGUUGUUGGGGUAACGGCCCAACAAGCCUGUAAUCGGUACGGGUUGUGGGAGCAAGAGCCCGGAGAUGGAUUCUGAGACACGAAUCCAGGCCCUACGGGGCGCAGCAGGCGCGAAAACUUUGCAAUGCGGGAAACCGUGACAAGGGAACUCUGAGUGCCCGUAAAAUCGGGCUGUCCAUCAGUUUAAAAAACUGGUGAAGAAAGGGCCGGGCAAGACCGGUGCCAGCCGCCGCGGUAAUACCGGCGGCUCGAGUGGUGGCCACUAUUACUGGGCUUAAAGCGUUCGUAGCUGGUUUGUUAAGUCUCUGGGGAAAUCUUCCGGCUUAACCGGAAGGCGUUUCAGGGAUACUGGCAGACUAGGGACCGGAAGAGGUGAGAGGUACUCCAGGGGUAGGAGUGAAAUCCUGUAAUCCUUGGGGGACCACCUGUGGCGAAGGCGUCUCACCAGGACGGCUCCGACAGUGAGGGACGAAAGCUGGGGGAGCAAACCGGAUUAGAUACCCGGGUAGUCCCAGCCGUAAACGAUGUGCGUUAGGUGUAUCGGUGACCACGAGUCACCGAGGUGCCGAAGAGAAAUCGUGAAACGUACCGCCUGGGAAGUACGGUCGCAAGGCUGAAACUUAAAGGAAUUGGCGGGGGAGCACCACAACAGGUGGAGCCUGCGGU